CAAUACAUCUGACCCGUACGAUCAAAAUAUCCAACGUCUCACAAUCCUUCCGUCUUUGACGGGCGGACAACGUCUGCUCCGCCGGUCCGCCCACGCGCUAAUAAUCGCUGAACCGCAUCGCUUUAGACAUCGCCCACGACGCCCACUUCCGCAGAACGCCGACACGCAUCUCCGAGCGCCAGCCCGCAAUCCCCGCCCUGACGCCGACGUCCCCAACCCGCAGCAGAUGUCGCCGCCGCAAUCUCCGACCGCCACCGCCGCAAUCCCCGCCCCCGACGCCCCGGCCUCGCCCAUUACCCCUCGCUCACGAGUCAAGUUCGCAGGUCAAGCCACCACCGCAUCCGUCCUCCUCUCGAGGUCGCCCAACCACGCCUGCACCGCCACCACGCACUACCUGCUCGCACGCCUUGCCGUAUCCGGCCCUGGCCCCUUCCUCCCCCUCCAAUCUACAUCGAUCGGCCGUGGCGUGCACGGAGCGCCCGCACCAAUCUACCAUGCUUGAACCAGGUGAUCCAAAUCUCAAUUGACAAAAUCGAUGGUACGAGCAGUUAAAUUUGCUUCUUCUCAUCAUAGUCAUCAUCUCUCUAGAAAUUUGUGUUGCUUAAAAAAUAUUGUGAAUGUUAAGCAGUUGGCCACCGCCACUUAGAUGCCUCCCUCUAAUCGACAUCCGACGUCCUCACAAUAAUUUGUCUCCAACCCAUGGAUUUGUGUGGCUUAAAAAAUAUUGCAACUGUUAAACGUACUGUCUUGUGGAUUCAGUUUUCUAUUUGAGAAUAUGAGUUAGUAUGUGCGGUUAAUUUUCUUGCUCUGCGGGAUAUUAUUCUUGUGAGGGGGUUUCAGUUCUUGGCUUCCAAGGAUUCAGUCUUACAUGGUGCAUUGUAUGGAUGAUAUAAGGUUCAUGUUAAUAACUUUGAAACAUGAUUUAAUUUCCUACGAUGCACUUUUUCUUUCAUCUAGCAAGCUUGAUUUCACCGCUGUGUCUCGGCUGCACGAUUGAGUCAAAGCAAAUGGUUAUUGUCCAAUUAUACUUUAUGCGAAUAAUCCUACAUAAACUUCAGGGAAUAAUUCUUACAAUUUAUUUUUUUCUUUUUGCCCCCUCAAGCUGUUCAUUGUUCUUCACUAGCAUCCAAAUUUAUUCAAUGUUUUUCGCGAAAACGCACGUUUCGAUUCAUUGAUAGAAAAAGAAGUUUACAUUACAAGCCUAAGAAAAGGCCGAACACCCACAGUACACACCCGACACUCAAACUAGACUACGACAAAAAGGCCGAAAUCCGUCGAGUGCUGCUCCAGGACGCUGCAGAGUGAGCUCCUACGCAAGACAGAACCCCCUUGCCGAUGAAAGUCCCAGUGCUUGUGCAUCAUCGAAAUUACCAAGAGCCUGCCAGCCGCAGCCAAGACGCGUACCACCUGAAUCCCGCGAGCGCACCACGGCUCAGCUGGGAGCAUUGCUGCUCCGGCCUCGAUCCAAAUCCAAGUAACGCCGUCGGCGCAGCGGUCCGGGCAACCUCGACAGACGUGCAAGCGUGCAGUCUUCAGCACCCCGCCAACAAACACAGAGGCCAGCCCACCACUGCUCAUCCAGAGGCAUGCUCGCGCUGUUCUAGGAAGAUCCUCGUCGCGCAAGCCACCGCGAUACCACUCAAGAGGCCGGCGCGCUACCUGCAUCGCAAGACCCCUCCCAUGUGGUCAGCGCUGAGAUCCACGAGGAAGAACUACGGCCCGAACUCAAGUUCCCAAGACGACGCCUCCAAGGAGGGUACGACGUCCAAGAUGCUGUCGUCUGAGGUUUUCACCCAGAACAUGAGACCCUAGGCAAGGGAGGUGCCGAAACUCCUCGAUGACGCCACAAGAGGAAAACGGCGCACUCAGGCGUCGCCGUCACCGGCCCCGAAAGGCAGGGCUUUUGCCCAGAGCAUGGUUCCUCACCACUGCAGGCUCUGUCCAUUCUUCGCCAAGACCUCCUGCGCUGACCCUUUUCUCUCAAAGCGCUAGCCUUGGCGGCGCAACCCGCCGGCAGCACGUCCAGUGCCCCAGGUCGGGGGCAGCCAUGCCCACAAAGGGAGAGACCGCCUAAGAGGGGCACUACCGAGCCGCAAGCGACGCAGGUGCCACCAUGGGGUGGGUUGCUGCGGGACUGCACACAUCCACCUCAGAGAGCAUCGCCGGCCACCCAGCACCGUCCACCUUGUCGCCAGCGCCGCACAGACGCCACGCCAAGAUGGCGUAGGGUUCCGCUCAACCCGGCCAGAGCAGCAGCACCAUGCGCUCGGAGCCGAGGAGGACGGACAAGGAGGAGGUGCCUAGCCGCACCCAGGCGCAGCAGGGCCGAACGGCCGGGGCCCACCAAACCUAGAUCGGGCCCCAAGGGCCCAGACCCGAGCCAGCAAGCCGGCGCCGCCAUGGCGCCAUCUUCGGCCGCCCAGCACCACCUGCCGCCAGCGCCGUCACCGUCGUCCCAGUGCCGUCGCCACCAUCCAAAGCGCCGUCGCCGUCGCUGGCCACCCAAGAACAUAGCUUGGCCGCGCCGCCCGCCGCUGGACUUGGUGUCCGCAUGAGAGCAGCCGCCGCCUCCAGCGCAGGGACGCCGCUACGCCGCUGCUGAGGCAGCCGCGCCCCUCGUCAAGCGCGCCGCCCUCACCGGCCCCGUCGGCCCGCGCCAAGUCCUCCGCGCGAGGGGGAGAGGAGUCCCGGCCGGCGCCAGCGCCCGGGCUUUGCCCAACGACGCCCUCCGGCGGCGGCAAGGGGAGGGAGGAGCAGGGGGAGGGCUCCGGGCCGGUGGCGGCUAGGGUUCCCUCCCGUCGCUCCCGCGGUUCAGAGACAGAUAUUUCCUCAAUUGGGAAAUUUAUUCAAUGUUUCCUGUACUUUAGAUUGCCUCCCUAUACUUUCCGCUUCACAUGGAACUAGAUUGCACAAACUUUUGCUAGCUUGAGAACAGAUAGCAUUGUGAAAGUUUACAGUAGAAUAUGCGAGUCGAAGUGGUGUCAAAUCAGUAGAAUAUGCGAGUCGAAGUGGUGUCAAAUCAUGCAUUAUUUCAGUUCUGCUUUUUAUUCAUGACCAGACUACAGGAUUUUUUGAGCAGCUGUUUGAGUUAAUUUGCAUAUAUGUUUGCGGGGCUUCGAUUAACUUGUUUCUGAAGCAUUUAGUCAAUGUUCUGUAUUCUAUAGUUGCUUGAGUUUCCGGGGAAGUUUAGUCAGGUUAGUUGCCUUUCAAAACAAUAUCGUAAGUUAUAAUGAAGUCCUUCAAAGUCCUGUAACUUUGUGAUAUGAACAGCAAGUCAGUUUUCUGCCAAAAUCAAGUAAAAUUGUUAUCGAAAGUCUUGUGGUAUUAUGCUGGUAGGGGGAGAAGGAGAAGAAAGAUGUUCUGGAUACAAAUAAGAAGGCCCAACUGAAGAAUGUAAGGGAGGCAUGCUAUUAAGAAGAAGAGGCUGCAUUGCAGAGUUGAUGUUAUUGAGUUCAUUUCACUCUGCAAGAAGCCAUGGAUUACAUGAAUUUUUUCAGAAUGCAACAUCAGAUGCAGCAAUGUUGUCCACUUAUGUGAUCUUCUCCACCCACUAUCACAACAUGGUAGCUUCUCAUAAUGGCUUCCAAUCGUAUCAUCUGAUUAAAUUAUGGUAAUUUCUGAAAUACUGCUUAUAGGAUUUCUUCUCGCAUAUAAGCUGCUCUUUUGCUUCCUGAAUAGAAACAAUGGAUCGACUUUGUAAACAGAACUAUGGUUCUGAUGUAAUGCCCCUCCCCCUUUUACUUCUCAACCUGUCAUCCUUUUCAGGUAGUUUAAUGGUGACAUGUAUGUCUGUAGAAUGGCAUGCACAAGAUCAGUGUGUAUGUUCUCCAUGUUCUGUGUGUAAAUGACGGCGAUUCAAUUCUCAGACUCUUUAUAUCUUUGACAUCAUAUUUCUAUGGAGUUAUCAUUAAUUCUCUUCUGUCUUAUUAUGCAAGGAAAGGAGUAAUCUGAACUGAAUUCAUACUCUGCUAACAGGCAUCUGGGAGGUGUAAAGCUUUCUUACUUAGGCUUGACAAGGCAUCAAUGAUUGGUGCUAUACCGGUUUUGUGUUCAACCCAACGUGAGUUUAGUGGUGAGCAUCAGCUAAUUAAUCCUAACUUAUUCACAAGUACUAUUGAGUGGUAAUGUACUCUAACUCAGUUCACAUUCAUGUCGGAAACUUUGAUGUCGUACCAGAUAUAUAACAAAGGUACGUACACUUUCCUGAGAAAGUAUAACAACUACAUCAUUGGAAAUGGAUAUUGUUGACAUACCAAUAUUAUAGAGUUGUCAUGGUGGUUGGGUUGACAUACCAACAUCACCCACUUUUGAUUAAACCUUUUGAAUUCCAAUACCAACAUUAUAGAGUUAGGAUGGUGGUUGGGUUGAUCGUAGCAUUGGUGUCAGUCCAAGAGCAUCAUGGAUUUCUCACUUUUAUUGCUGACGAACUGCCUAAUAAAAUGAGGAGUUUGGUACUUUUCAGUUCGAACAAUACAGACCAUAUUCUUUUGGGGUGAGGAAUGAACAUAGAUUGAAUUCCAUGCUUGCUGCUUAUAGCCUUGCUCUGGCUAGAGUGCUAAUAAAAUGAAUAGUUUGGUGCUUUUCAGUGCGAAUAGUACAGAUAAAAAAAUUCGGGUGAGGGCUGAAAUGCAAAUAGAGUGGGAGGCUCUUUCAUAAAAGUAGUUAGGUCUGCCAAUAGCUUCAGAGUGAUAACUAUAUAAAAAUUUGAACAUCUACUGGAAAGGGCUCGAUCUAAAGUACAUGCGUGGUGUGAAAAGAAAUUGUCUUGUGCAGCAAAAAAAAUUAUUCUGAAAUCAGCUAUCAAGACUUGCUGACCUAUUCUAUGAGUUCUUUUUUAACUCGCAACAAGUGCGUUCAAGAAGAUACCUACAGUAAUGUCCAAGUACUGGUGGGUGGGAUCAUAUAUCGCAGAGAAAUGCAUUGACAGUCAUAUGGGAGAACCUCACAAUUCCUAAUGGCACUGGAGGGCUGGCUUUCUUGUGUUAUAAAAGUUGGAUGAUGCUAUAUUAGCAAAAUAAGCGUGUACAUUAUUGAUCACUCUGGAUAAUUGUUGUGCGAGAUUAUUGAGAGUGGUACUAUCCUGGUAACAUUUUGUCGGCAACCUGUACUCGAAUUGCAUUGUGAACUUGGCAUGCUAUUUCUGAAAGGAAUGGAUGUGCUAAAGUUGGGUUUGAUUGUUAAGUUUGGUAAUGGUUUGUUCAGCUUUGGCUGGAUAGUCAGGAGCAGCCAUCGAUGGGUGCUCGCUAAUUUGUGAGUUACAGAGCUACAGGUAUUCGUGCCAAGGUUUUUUCAAGGAUUUUUGGAGCUUCACAUAGAUGUGUAAGAGAGUCCCUUAAUAUUCGGUUUGCUUUUCUUAGACUUUGAUGUAAUCCAUUUUCUGGUCUGACAUUGUCGGAAUCUUUGGAAUAAAACCUUAGACUUUACUUCAAA